GCAAAUUAAGAAAAACACAGACCCGCCGUGAGAUCUGGACUCUUGACACAAAAAGUGAUCAGUAUAACCAGGGUAAGGUGUGCUUACACAGGGCCCACAACAGGUAAAACUAGCACUGUUACAUUUGACCUCUACUUUUAUUUCCUUAUAUAGCAUGAGUAAGACAUAUCGGGAGGACAGAGGUUGUAUACAUGAUAAUAAGGUUAAUUUGACAGCACAGGAAACAAGACAUAUUCAACUGAGAAAUAAGCAUGUUGUAAGCUCUUGUCAACAAAAGAAGAAGCUGAUGUUCAAGUCUUAAACAAAUUUCCGCAUAAGUUGACGAACAAAUAUAUUGGUAAAAAAUAUGCAAUAAAGACUCUAACUCAACCCAAGGGGACCAACCGAGUACCCUUGACCUUUUCUGUACAUAUAAAUGUUAUAUUAUGUUCAAAACAUGAAAUGUGGAUGAUUAAAAAUAUUCGCUAACCAAUUAAAAACAGGACAAGAUUUUAAGAUCCUUGCAUACAUAAUUUUUGACAUCACAGAAAUUGUACAACAGUUUCAGAGCAUGUAGGGAGGCAGUUCUCAUCAUUUAUACGCAUAAAAAUGUGACUUAAGAAUCAAGUACUAUUCUUAUAUAUUUUAUUGUUUGUGUCUCAUUUAUCAUAAUUUUUAUAUAUUUUUUAUUCGACUAUGCUCUGGCUCUGCCAGAACGAAAAUGUGCAUCUUGGGCAACCUAUUUCUAACUUCCCAAGGGCGAGUAGUUCUGUUGAGUGUUCUUCUGAGGAUAGUAACCAUUGAUACAGAAGUCAAUAUUACAGAAGUAAUGAUAUAUAGGGAAUGUAGAACUAUAAUAAUAUCAAUAAUCAAAUAUUUAUGCCAAAAAAUAUUAAUUUGAUAUAUUUCCAUGUUUGUCAUGAAGUAAAGCUGUGUGAUGCCUGAUUUGGUAAAGACCAUUCGUGAAAAUAUCUACUUCUAAAUUAAACAUAAAAAAUGAUAUGGAAGUAAAAAAGAAAUUAGUUACAUCUAUGAACCAUACUUAUCUGUCGCGAGAUCAUAAACUUCUACAUCAGCAAGCCCUCUGGCACAUUGUGAGGUGCGCCCCCCAGCAACAUAAACCUUGCCACAGACCACAGAACAAGCAAAGUGUGACCGCGGAGUUCGCAUACUUGCUGCUCUAGUCCAGCGUUUAGUAAACGGAUCAUACUGCACAACAUCACUAGUUAUGAAAGGCUUCUGAUUUGGAAAUAUUGGAUCACGUGGUGCAUAGGAACCCCCAAUCACCAGAAAUUUAUUACAGACUGUAACACAUGAAAAUCCGUAAUGUUGACCAGUAGAGCUGUUUCCAGAUAUAUUGGGAAGAGAAUGCCAUUUAUCAGCCUCAGGAUCGUAAGCAACCCACUGAUUCUUAGAACCUUCAGUCAGAACAAACAACCAGUCUCCAGACCAUCCCUCUCUAGCUUUGUAGUUGGAAUAAUCUGAGGAGCGUAACACAUCUCUCCAUCCUUUAGAGACAGUCUCUAGAAUCCCGUGAUAACCAUGGGACAAUUUUGCCAAACAUCUCAGAGCUAAAUCGUCAGGCAAUCCAGGAAUGAUUGCUUGUUUAUUUGUUUCCCUGACAUAAUGUAUGACCAGAUGAUAACCAAAGAUUUCAUACAAGAUACUAAGCGUCCCUUAUAUAUGCAGUAUGAUAGCAUGACCCAUUUGAUAUAUUAUCUGACAAUGAAAAUGUAAUGAAUCACCAAAAUAAUGUAUACCAUGAUGGUGCUAGUGCAUCGGGACAAAAACCUUAGCUUCUAUCAUUCCUAUUCAUCAUAUAUUUCUGAAUAAUGGUUUUGCUAGUAUUGAGGUUUUUAAAAGCAACAGGUGAAAAGGAUUAUUUCAAUAGUAAUUCUAAACAUAUACUCCUAUUACAUAGAUGUUUUAGUUAAGAGUGAUUAAAAAAUAAAUGAUUAUUCUAGUUUGAAUCACAAGCAGAUAAACAAAAUUCUUCAUAAUACUAGACAACAUCUAAGCUCUCUGUAACUAAGAGGAGAUAAUGAGAAUAAUAUUACAACUUCAAUGUACAGAUAAUGAUAUAUAAGAUAUAUCCUAGAAGGCUAGAACCAUUCCACACAAAGCAAAUUUCUAAGCUCCAUAUUGCAAGGUCUAGAAGUCCUACCGAUUAAGAAUUGAAUUCUGCCAACAUAAUUUCGUGAUUUUAUAAAUUUCAUCACCCUUUGUUUCGCUCAGAUGACAAGUAUAUUAUAAUAUUAAUUAAACAAUCAAAGGUAAAGGAUUGAAAAAAAAUUGAAGGCGGGAAAAUCAAUAUUCGUUUCUUUGCAUGGCAAUUCUGUCGCUUAGUGGAAAGUUACACCACCGACAAUGUAACGUUAUAUCUUUGAAAAGUAAAGUGACUUCAUGUUUUUAAUGCUUGGCGUAUAACCAAGCAAAUUUUAAUGCAGUUACUAAUUUAAUCCAAAGUCUUACAGUUAUGAUUAUAUAGUUUCUCUAUAUACUGUAAUAGCUCCUAUUAUGAUUUGCUAUUACUUCAAUCCAAAGUCUUCAUACUUACACAAAUUGUUUCUCUAUAAAAUGGCUACACUUAUGCUCCACUUGGUUGGAUGGAAUUAAAUUAGGUGGGCAUCUAAUGAAAUUUGUACUAUUUUUAAUAACUUUCUUUCCAUUUCCCUUCCAUCCACAAAGAUUUAUACUAGAGCUAGACUUCGCGAUAAUAGGGAUGACUACCUCAUUCCUACCUCCGUUCAUAAUAUUCAAAAUGCUCAUAAUAAUACUCUUUUGUCUAGCCUUCAUUUGUUUUCACAAUUUCUUUGCAUUUCUUCCGAUCAAACGUAGCAUUUAUNAAAUUUGCCUUGGUAAGACAAUCCUAAGCAAUCCAUCAGCGGGCCGGGCAUUGGUGGCAAAUCUUCCCACCUGCAUAUGAUUUAUCUUCUGUGUAAGCUACUUAAAUUAUCAACUUGAGCAAAUUAAGAAAAACACAGACCCGCCGUGAGAUCUGGACUCUUGACACAAAAAGUGAUCAGUAUAACCAGGGUAAGGUGUGCUUACACAGGGCCCACAACAGGUAAAACUAGCACUGUUACAUUUGACCUCUACUUUUAUUUCCUUAUAUAGCAUGAGUAAGACAUAUCGGGAGGACAGAGGUUGUAUACAUGAUAAUAAGGUUAAUUUGACAGC
rnacentral:lncRNA from 1 species